rnacentral:rRNA from 1 species
AACGAACGCUGGCGGCAUGCCUAACACAUGCAAGUCGAACGAGACCUUCGGGUCUAGUGGCGCACGGGUGCGUAACGCGUGGGAACCUGCCCUUAGGUUCGGAAUAACUCCCCGAAAGGGGUGCUAAUACAGGAUAAUGUCUUCGGACCAAAGAUUUAUCGCCUUUGGAUGGGCCCGCGUUGGAUUAGCUAGUUGGUAGUGUAAAAGCCUACCAAGGCGACGAUCCAGAGCUGGUCGGAGAGGAUGAUCAGCCGCACUGGGACUGAGACACGGCCCAGACUCCUACGCGAGGCAGCAGUGUGGAGUAUUGGACGAGGGGCGAAAGCCUGAUCCAGCAAUGCCGCGUGAGUGAUGAAGGCCUUAGUGUUGUAAAGCUCUUUUACCCGAGAUGAUAAUGACAGUACCGGGAGAAUAAGCACCGGCUAACUCCGUG